rnacentral:rRNA from 1 species
GUGAGGAAUAUUGGUCAAUGGGCGAGAGCCUGAACCAGCCAAGUCGCGUGAAGGAAGAAGGAUCUAUGGUUCGUAAACUUCUUUUGCAGGGGAAUAAAGUGCAGGACGUGUCCUGUUUUGUAUGUACCCUGAGAAUAAGGAUCGGCUAACUCCGUGCCAGCAGCCGCGGUAAUACGGAGGAUCCGAGCGUUAUCCGGAUUUAUUGGGUUUAAAGGGUGCGUAGGUGGUUUGAUAAGUCAGCGGUGAAAGUUUGCAGCUUAACUGUAAAAAUGCCGUUGAAACUGUCGGACUUGAGUGUAAAUGAGGUAGGAGGAAUGCGUGGUGUAGCGGUGAAAUGCAUAGAUAUCACGCAGAACUCCGAUUGCGAAGGCAGCUUACUAAGCUACAACUGACACUGAAGCACGAAAGCGUGGGGAUCAAACAGGAUUAGAUACCCGAGUAGUCC